rnacentral:rRNA from 1 species
GACGAACCGUGCGAACGUUGUUCGGAUUCACUGGGCUUAAAGGGCGCGUAGGCGGGUGGUCAAGUCAGAGGUGAAAUCUUUCGGCUCAACCGGAAAAGUGCCCCUGAUAACUGGUCACCUCGAGGGAGGUAGGGGCAUGUGGAACUUCCGGUGGAGCGGUGAAAUGCGUAGAUAUCGGAAGGAACGCCGGUGGCGAAAGCGACGUGCUGGACCUCUUCUGACGCUGAGGCGCGAAAGCCAGGGGAGCAAACGGG